AUUGAACGCUGGCGGCGUGCUUAACACAUGCAAGUCGUACGCGAAAGGGACUUCGGUCCCGAGUAAAGUGGCGCACGGGUGAGUAACACGUGGAUAAUCUGCCUCUAUGAUGGGGAUAACAGUUGGAAACGACUGCUAAUACCGAAUACGCUCAUAAUGAACUUUAUGAGGAAAGGUGGUCUCUGCUUGCAAGCUAUCGCAUAGAGAUGAGUCCGCGUCCCCAUUAGCUAGUUGGUGGGGUAACGGCCUACCAAGGCAACGAUGGGUAGCCGAUCUGAGAGGUUGGCCGGCCACAUUGGGACUGAGACACGGCCCAGACUCCUACGGGAGGCAGCAGUGGGGAAUAUUGGGCAA
rnacentral:rRNA from 1 species